UACGUAGGGCGCAAGCGUUAUCCGGAAUUAUUGGGCGUAAAGAGCUCGUAGGCGGUUUGUCGCGUCUGCCGUGAAAGUCCGGGGCUCAACUCCGGAUCUGCGGUGGGUACGGGCAGACUAGAGUGAUGUAGGGGAGACUGGAAUUCCUGGUGUAGCGGUGAAAAUGCGCAGAUAUCAGGAGGAACACCGAUGGCGAAGGCGGGUCUCUGGGCCAUAACUGACGUGAGGAGCGAAAGCAUGGGGAGCGAACAGG
rnacentral:rRNA from 1 species